UGGGGAAUAUUGGACAAUGGGCGAAAGCCUGAUCCAGCCAUGCCGCGUGUGUGAAGAAGGUCUUCGGAUUGUAAAGCACUUUAAGUUGGGAGGAAGGGCAGUAACCUAAUACGUUUCUGUCUUGACGUUACCGACAGAAUAAGCACCGGCUAACUCUGUGCCAGCAGCCGCGGUAAUACAGAGGGUGCAAGCGUUAAUCGGAAUUACUGGGCGUAAAGCGCGCGUAGGUGGUUUGUUAAGUUGGAUGUGAAAUCCCCGGGCUCAACCUGGGAACUGCAUUCAAAACUGACAAGCUAGAGUAUGGUAGAGGGUGGUGGAAUUUCCUGUGUAGCGGUGAAAUGCGUAGAUAUAGGAAGGAACACCAGUGGCGAAGGCGACCACCUGGACUGAUACUGACACUGAGGUGCGAAAGCGUGGGGAGCAAACAGGAUUAGAUACCCCGGUAGUCCCUGAGCGGGCUGGCAAGGCGCAU
rnacentral:rRNA from 1 species